UCCAAUUCAAAUCUUCCUUAAUAAACUCCAAAUCAAAUCUUCCUUAAUAAACUCAAAUUCAAAUUUGAAAUGAUUUUAAAACAUUCCAACAUACCAACGGAAGGAAAUCAAGAACAAAUGUUCAUGUAAUAACCAUAACCCAUGCAUAUUAAUUAUAAUAUUAUAAACCAUAAUCCAUGCAUAUUUAAUAAUAUAAUAACAAACCAUGAACCAUGCACACGUCUAAUAUAUUUAAAUUAGUCAUCAAUCAAAACAUCAUAGAAUCAAAAACUAACAGGUUAAAGGUGAAGAUG
rnacentral:lncRNA from 1 species